GACGAACGCUGGCGGCGUGCCUAAUACAUGCAAGUCGAGCGCAGGAAGCUGACGGAACUCUUCGGAGAGAAGGCAGUGGAAUGAGCGGCGGACGGGUGAGUAACACGUAAGGAACCUGCCUCAAGGAUUGGGAUAACUCCGAGAAAUCGGAGCUAAUACCGGAUAGUUCAACGGACCGCAUGGUCCGCUGAUGAAAGGCGCUUCGGCGUCACCUUGAGAUGGCCUUGCGGUGCAUUAGCUAGUUGGUGGGGUAACGGGCCACCAAGGCGACGAUGCAUAGCCGACCUGAGAGGGUGAUCGGCCACACUGGGACUGAGACACGGCCCAGACUCCUACGGGAGGCAGCAGUAGGGAAUCUUCCACAAUGGACGAAAGUCUGAUGGAGCAACGCCGCGUGAGUGAUGAAGGUUUUCGGAUCGUAAGACUCUGUUGUAAGGGAAGAACACGUACGAGAGGGAAUGCUCGUACCUUGACGGUACCUUACGAGAAAGCCACGGCUAACUACGUGCCAGCAGCCGCCGCGG
rnacentral:rRNA from 1 species